rnacentral:rRNA from 1 species
UGGGGAAUCUUCCGCAAUGGACGAAAGUCUGACGGAGCAACGCCGCGUGAGUGAAGACGGCCUUCGGGUUGUAAAGCUCUGUGAUCCGGGACGAAAGAGCCUGAGGUGAAUAGCCUAAGGAUGUGACGGUACCGGAAAAGCAAGCCACGGCUAACUACGUGCCAGCAGCCGCGGUAAUACGUAGGUGGCAAGCGUUGUCCGGAAUUAUUGGGCGUAAAGCGCGCGCAGGCGGCUUCCUAAGUCCAUCUUAAAAGUGCGGGGCUUAACCCCGUGAUGGGAUGGAAACUGGGAAGCUGGAGUAUCGGAGAGGAAAGUGGAAUUCCUUGUGUAGCGGUGAAAUGCAUAGAGAUUAGGAAGAACACCGGUGGCGAGGGCGACUUGCUGGACGAAAACUGACGCUGAGGCGCGAAAGCGUGGGUAGCAAACAGG